rnacentral:piRNA from 1 species
UUUGACUAGGUGACAAGCUGAAAUACAGGG